GUGACUGCGUACCUUUUGUAUAAUGGGUCAGCGACUUAUAUUCUGUAGCAAGGUUAACCGAAUAGGGGAGCCGAAGGGAAACCGAGUCUUAACUGGGCGUUAAGUUGCAGGGUAUAGACCCGAAACCCGGUGAUCUAGCCAUGGGCAGGUUGAAGGUUGGGUAACACUAACUGGAGGACCGAACCGACUAAUGUUGAAAAAUUAGCGGAUGACUUGUGGCUGGGGGUGAAAGGCCAAUCAAACCGGGAGAUAGCUGGUUCUCCCCGAAAGCUAUUUAGGUAGCGCCUCGUGAAUUCAUCUCCGGGGGUAGAGCACUGUUUCGGCAAGGGGGUCAUCCCGACUUACCAACCCGAUGCAAACUGCGAAUACCGGAGAAUGUUAUUACGGGAGACACACGGCGGGUGCUAACGUCCGUCGUGAAGAGGGAAACAACCCAGACCGCCAGCUAAGGUCCCAAAGUCAUGGUUAAGUGGGAAACGAUGUGGGAAGGCCCAGACAGCCAGGAUGUUGGCUUAGAAGCAGCCAUCAUUUAAAGAAAGCGUAAUAGCUCACUGGUCGAGUCGGCCUGCGCGGAAGAUGUAACGGGGCUAAACCAUGCACCGAAGCUGCGGCAGCGACACUAUGUGUUGUUGGGUAGGGGAGCGUUCUGUAAGCCUGUGAAGGUGUGCUGUGAGGCAUGCUGGAGGUAUCAGAAGUGCGAAUGCUGACAUAAGUAACGAUAAAGCGGGUGAAAAGCCCGCUCGCCGGAAGACCAAGGGUUCCUGUCCAACGUUAAUCGGGGCAGGGUGAGUCGACCCCUAAGGCGAGGCCGAAAGGCGUAGUCGAUGGGAAACAGGUUAAUAUUCCUGUACUUGGUGUUACUGCGAAGGGGGGACGGAGAAGGCUAUGUUGGCCGGGCGACGGUUGUCCCGGUUUAAGCGUGUAGGCUGAUUUUCCAGGCAAAUCCGGAAAAUCAAGGCUGAGGCGUGAUGACGAGGCACUACGGUGCUGAAGCAACAAAUGCCCUGCUUCCAGGAAAAGCCUCUAAGCAUCAGGUAACAUCAAAUCGUACCCCAAACCGACACAGGUGGUCAGGUAGAGAAUACCAAGGCGCUUGAGAGAACUCGGGUGAAGGAACUAGGCAAAAUGGUGCCGUAACUUCGGGAGAAGGCACGCUGAUAUGUAGGUGAAGCGACUUGCUCGUGGAGCUGAAAUCAGUCGAAGAUACCAGCUGGCUGCAACUGUUUAUUAAAAACACAGCACUGUGCAAACACGAAAGUGGACGUAUACGGUGUGACGCCUGCCCGGUGCCGGAAGGUUAAUUGAUGGGGUUAGCGGUAACGCGAAGCUCUUGAUCGAAGCCCCGGUAAACGGCGGCCGUAACUAUAACGGUCCUAAGGUAGCGAAAUUCCUUGUCGGGUAAGUUCCGACCUGCACGAAUGGCGUAAUGAUGGCCAGGCUGUCUCCACCCGAGACUCAGUGAAAUUGAACUCGCUGUGAAGAUGCAGUGUACCCGCGGCAAGACGGAAAGACCCCGUGAACCUUUACUAUAGCUUGACACUGAACAUUGAGCCUUGAUGUGUAGGAUAGGUGGGAGGCUUUGAAGUGUGGACGCCAGUCUGCAUGGAGCCGACCUUGAAAUACCACCCUUUAAUGUUUGAUGUUCUAACGUUGGCCCGUUAUCCGGGUUGCGGACAGUGUCUGGUGGGUAGUUUGACUGGGGCGGUCUCCUCCUAAAGAGUAACGGAGGAGCACGAAGGUUGGCUAAUCCUGGUCGGACAUCAGGAGGUUAGUGCAAUGGCAUAAGCCAGCUUGACUGCGAGCGUGACGGCGCGAGCAGGUGCGAAAGCAGGUCAUAGUGAUCCGGUGGUUCUGAAUGGAAGGGCCAUCGCUCAACGGAUAAAAGGUACUCCGGGGAUAACAGGCUGAUACCGCCCAAGAGUUCAUAUCGACGGCGGUGUUUGGCACCUCGAUGUCGGCUCAUCACAUCCUGGGGCUGAAGUAGGUCCCAAGGGUAUGGCUGUUCGCCAUUUAAAGUGGUACGCGAGCUGGGUUUAGAACGUCGUGAGACAGUUCGGUCCCUAUCUGCCGUGGGCGCUGGAGAACUGAGGGGGGCUGCUCCUAGUACGAGUGGACCGGAGUGGACGCAUCACUGGUGUUCGGGUUGUCAUGCCAAUGGCACUGCCCGGUAGCUAAAUGCGGAAGAGAUAAGUGCUGAAAGCAUCUAAGCACGAAACUUGCCCCGAGAUGAGUUCUCCCUGACUCCUUGAGAGUCCUGAAGGAACGUUGAAGACGACGACGUUGAUAGGCCGGGUGUGUAAGCGCAGCGAUGCGUUGAGCUAACCGGUACUAAUGAACCGUGAGGCUUAACCUUACAACGCCGAAG
rnacentral:rRNA from 1 species